rnacentral:rRNA from 1 species
UGAGGAAUAUUGGGCAAUGCCCGCAAGGGUGACCCAGCAACGCCGCGUGGAGGAUGAAUGUCGUAAGAUUGUAAACUCCUGUUAGAGGGGAAGAAUAGUACCGGUUGGACCGGUAUAUGACUGUACCCUCAGAGAAAGCCCCGGCUAACUACGUGCCAGCAGCCGCGGUAAUACGUAGGGGGCAAGCGUUGUCCGGAUUUACUGGGUGUAAAGGGCGCGCAGGCGGAAUGGAAAGUCAGUGGUGAAAUCCUACAGCUUAACUGUAGAACUGCCUUUGAUACUUUCAUUCUUGAGUUCGGGAGAGAGAGACGGAAUUCCAGGUGUAGUGGUGAAAUACGUAGAUAUCGGGAGGAACACCAGUGGCGAAGGCGGGUUCCUGGCCCAUGACUGACGCUGAGGUGCGAAAGCCGGGGGAGCGAACG